GAGUUUGAUCAUGGCUCAGAUUGAACGCUGGCGGCAGGCCUAACACAUGCAAGUCGAGCGCGAAAGUCCUUCGGGGCAAGUAGAGCGGCGGACGGGUGAGUAAUGCUUGGGAAUCUACCUAGUAGUGGGGGAUAACGUGUGGAAACGCACGCUAAUACCGCGUACGUCCUACGGGAGAAAGCAGGGGAUCUUCGGACCUUGUGCUAUUGGAUGAGCCCAAGUCGGAUUAGCUAGUUGGUGGGGUAAUGGCUCACCAAGGCGACGAUCUAUAGCUGGUUUGAGAGGACGAUCAGCCACAUUGGGACUGAGACACGGCCCAGACUCCUACGGGAGGCAGCAGUGGGGAAUGUUGGACAAUGGGCGCAAGCCUGAUCCAGCCAUACCGCGUGUGUGAAGAAGGCCUUCGGGUUGUAAAGCACUUUAAGCAGGGAGAAAAAGUUAUAAGUUAAUACCUUAUAACCCUGAUGUUACCUGCAGAAUAAGCACCGGCUAAUUCCGUGCCAGCAGCCGCGGUAAUACGGAAGGUGCAAGCGUUAAUCGGAAUUACUGGGCGUAAAGCGCGCGUAGGUGGUUUGUUAAGUUGGAUGUGAAAGCCCUGGGCUCAACCUAGGAACUGCAUCCAAAACUAACUCACUAGAGUACGAUAGAGGGAGGUAGAAUUCAUAGUGUAGCGGUGGAAUGCGUAGAUAUUAUGAAGAAUACCAGUGGCGAAGGCGGCCUUCCUGGAUCUGUACUGACACUGAGGUGCGAAAGCGUGGGUAGCGAACAGGAUUAGAUACCCUGGUAGUCCACGCCGUAAACGAUGACAACUAGCUGUUGGGAGACUAUGUCUUUCAGUGGCGCAGCUAACGCUUUAAGUUGUCCGCCUGGGGAGUACGGCCGUAAGGCUAAAACUCAAAUGAAUUGACGGGGACCCGCACAAGCGGUGGAGCAUGUGGUUUAAUUCGAUGCAACGCGAAAAACCUUACCUACUCUUGACAUACUUGGAGGCUCUUGUAAUGAGAGUGUGCCUUUUGGAACCAAGAUACAGGUGCUGCAUGGCUGUCGUCAGCUCGUGCCGUGAGAUGUUCCGUUAAGUCGGAUAACGAGCGCAACCCUUACCCUUAUUUGCCAGCGAUUCGGUCGGGAACUAUAAGGGGACUGCCGGUGAUAAACCGGAGGAAGGUGAGGACGACGUCAAGUCAUCAUGGCCCUUACGAGUAGGGCUACACACGUGCUACAAUGGGAGAUACAGACGGACGCUAAGCCGCGAGGUGGUGCUAAUCCUAAAAAGUCUUUCGUAGUCCGGAUUGGAGUCUGCAACUCGACUCCAUGAAGUCGGAAUCGCUAGUAAUCGCGGAUCAGCAUGCCGCGGUGAAUACGUUCUCGGGUCUUGUACACACCGCCCGUCACACCAUGGAAGUGGAUUGCGCCAGAAGUAGAUAGUCUAACCUUAGGGAGGGCGUUUACCACGGUGUGCUUCAUGACUGGGGUGAAGUCGUAACAAGGUAACC
rnacentral:rRNA from 1 species